rnacentral:rRNA from 1 species
GACGAACGCUGGCGGCGUGCUUAACACAUGCAAGUCGAACGGAAAGGCCCUGCUUUUGUGGGGUGCUCGAGUGGCGAACGGGUGAGUAACACGUGAGUAACCUGCCCUUGACUUUGGGAUAACUUCAGGAAACUGGGGCUAAUACAGGAUAGGAGCUCCUGCUGCAUGGUGGGGGUUGGAAAGUUUCGGCGGUUGGGGAUGGACUCGCGGCUUAUCAGCUUGUUGGUGGGGUAGUGGCUUACCAAGGCUUUGACGGGUAGCCGGCCUGAGAGGGUGACCGGCCACCUUGGGACUGCGAUACGGCCCAGACUCCUACGGGAGGCAGCAGUGGGGAAUAUUGCACAAUGGGCGGAAGCCUGAUGCAGCAACGCCGCGUGCGGGAUGCCGGCCUUCGGGUUGUAAACCGCUUUCGCCGGUGACGAAGCGUGAGUGACGGUAAUGGGUAAAGAAGCACCGGCUAACUACGUG